UUUACAAAAUUCGUAAAAUUUAAAGCACAAGUGAUCGCUGUGCAAAGCCGUCAUGAAACCAAUUUUAUAUUCGGCGCUGACAAAAGAGGGUACAUUAUAAGUAACGUCAAGGUGAGUUACAGCAGAGCUGAAAAAGAGUGUUGUGAAAUGGGGUACCAAUUACACGGUUUCCUUUCCAA